rnacentral:rRNA from 1 species
UACGGGGGAUGCAAGUGUUAUCCGGAAUAAUUGGGCGUAAAGCGUCUGUAGGUGGUUGACCAAGUCUGUUGUUAAAAAUCAGGGCUCAACCCUGAUCCGGCAACAGAAACUAGUAAACUUGAGUACGGUAGGGGCAGAGGGAAUUCUCGGUGUAGUGGUGAAAUACGUAGAUAUCGAGAAGAACACCAAUAGCGAAAGCACUCUGCUGGGCCGAAACUGACAUUGAGAGACGAAAGCUAGGGGGGCAAAAGGG